GUAAGGAAUAUUGGGCAAUGGACGCAAGUCUGACCCAGCCAUGCCGCGUGAAGGAUUAAGGUCCUCUGGAUUGUAAACUUCUUUUCUCUGGGGCGAAAACCAGCUAUUCUUAGCUAUUUGACAGUACCAGAGGAAUAAGCACCGGCUAACUCCGUGCCAGCAGCCGCGGUAAUACGGAGGGUGCAAGCGUUAUCCGGAUUCACUGGGUUUAAAGGGUGCGUAGGUGGGCUAGUAAGUCCGUGGUGAAAUCCCCGAGCUUAACUUGGGAACUGCCAUUGAUACUAUUAGUCUUGAAUAUCGUGGAGGUAAGCGGAAUAUGUCAUGUAGCGGUGAAAUGCUUAGAUAUGACAUAGAACACCAAUUGCGAAGGCAGCUUGCUACACGGUCAUUGACACUGAGGCACGAAAGCGUGGGGAGCAAACAGGAUUAGAAACCCGGGUAGUCC
rnacentral:rRNA from 1 species